GACUUUACUGCCCCUUCAGCCUGGGCUUCAAAAGGUGAACACGUACAGCAGAUGUGAGAGCAACCACCAGCAAGGAACAAAACCUGCACUCAGCAGAACCCAGCCUAGAUCCGCUGACCAGCCAACCAACAUAGAGAUACAUUCAUGAGAAUAAAUAAUUGCUGCAAGUUACAGAGUUCUAUAUAAGUUUUUGGAUGUAGUAUUAUGAUGCUAAUAACUAAUGGAUAUAGAAAUUGGAUUCCAUGGAGAGAACAAUUCCUGGCCAAAAGAAGUGAAUAUGGAAGUUUGGACACCGAACUGAGGGUCUUCCACCCCAUGAUAAUUACUCUGCAGAAGGUCUCAGCCAGUGUGUCACAGGAGAAGAGAAUCUCUGAAUUGACCAAGGUUGAUUUGAUAUUUCCCUUGUCCAGCCUGUGUAUCUUUGAGUGUUGUAGGGAUAAACCUGUCUCACUCUGGCUUGUUAUCUAUUUUGGAGACGGCACAGCCUGAAUAUCACCAGAGGGACUUGUCAGAAUUCUGGGACCAGAAAAGCAAUGCUAUGGGAGGGCAGGUGAGGGCCCACAUGAAGACAGUGGGAGCAUUUCUCUAGAGUCACUGCAGUGCAUGCCCCCAAGUUUGGUCAGGCUUAGUUGUGAUGACAAAGUCACUGCUAGAAUGGGGAUGUUUAUAUUGUUCUAGGGAAAUUAUUCAACGGCAUCAGCUGUGACAGCAAUGAUUUCAUACGUAGAACUCUGUGAAGGAUGUAUACAAUUUUAUUUCCUAAAAUGGAAGAUGAAGCUGGAGUUGGUCAUGCUGUAGGCCAAACUUCAAAACCAAUAUUGGCUCCUGAGGACUGAGGAUAAUAUAUCUUUGAAAAUAACAGCUGACAUUUAUUAAGCUGUCACUGCAUGCUUCGUGGUCUGUGCCCUAAACAUGUUGCACACAACAUCUGAUUUCCUCAUCACUUGAGACAGGUGCUAUGUUAUCCCCCUAUUUUGCAGAUGGGGACUCUGAGGCGCUAAGUACAAAGGUGCUAAGGUAUUAGGUAACUUGUUUAUGGUUGCACUGAUAGGAAAGGUACCAGAUCCCUUUCACUGGGCUGUGCAUCCAUUGUCUAGUUGCUGGGAGUUUUGGCUAUUACUAGCUCACAGUUGCCCCUUUCUCAGGAGAACCAUCCAUGACCAAACUAAAGCCCUUUCACCUGGCAGUUGUGCCUCCUGGAGGGUGGGAGACCAGUCUAUGACUGACUGAUGGGGUACAAAUGAUGGCCCCUGCCAAAAAGUGAGAUCUGCUCUGUAAUGCAAUUCUGGCUCCAGAGCUCCCCGUGGGAUCAGGUUCCACUGAGACCACUCCUUCACUCAGCCUUUCCUCCUACCCUGCUCAGCUCCCUUCACUCCCUUCUCCUGAAAACACUCUCUCAGUAAACCAUUUGCACCAUAAUCCUCAUCUUAGGCUCUGCAUUUAGAAAACCUGAACUGCAACAGUGGCUAAACCCGAGGUAAUUUGUGCA
rnacentral:lncRNA from 1 species